CUUCCGCCCCUUCCGCACGACGGGGCGGAACGAGGCCCGAGGCGUUCUCUGCCCUGACUGCGUCCCGGCCUCCUCACCGGCUGCGACGCCGCGGGGCCGCACACUUCGCGGCGCGCGCACCGGUGCUUGGCUCCGGGCCGUGGUGCCGGACGGGUUGAGGGUCCCGGUCCAGGCAC
rnacentral:ncRNA from 1 species